UCUGGGAUAGCUCAGUUGGUAGAGCAUGAGACUCUUAAUCUUAGGGUUGUUGGUUUGAGUCCCACAUUGGGCAAAA